AAAGAAGAAUUUAUGUGAUUGAGAGAAAACAUUUCUUUUUGUCAGUUCACGUUUAGGUGGCGGAACCUUGUUCACCAAUGUUGUUGGUGUCAGGACGCUUAUUUUGGGGGCACUUCCUGUACAAACAGUAGAUAAGCGGGAAAGAUUCGACGGGAGUUAGAAAGAAGCAAGAAGAAUAACUCCGUUUGGUCAGAAGGUCAAUGAGCGGACUCCCUGCUACUCUCGGCCGGCGCUGAUGGAAUCGCUGAACUCCUAGAGCGGGCGUCUGCGGCUUCAAGGGGAAGAAUAUGACUCUUGACUGCCCGGAGUCCGUACAGGUGCGCACAGGCGACAACAAACACCCGUCACGGCCGUCUGUCGUCGGGACGCCGCCCAUCACCUGGCAAACCGAAUGAUGGACUUGCAUUGUUCCGCCCUCUUCCUGCCACAAACGGCGCGACGGAUGACUGACGGAGCGCCUCAAAGAUGAUGAUGAUGAUGAUGAUGUCAACCUGUCAUUGGGAUGUAGGCAAGGUUUUACAUGGUCACAUGAACAGGCAGUUCUCAUCCGUCUCCCGCGACUCCCCCAACCACAGACAGGUCUUACUUUGUCUCCCAGGAAAGUGAUGAAAACCCGAGACAGGAACUUUCUCAUCCUCGCGCCAAAACAAACGAUUCGACGAGAGUGGAAAAGGUAAGAGUGACACCGGUGGAAUAUAUGUGCCGAGGAAGUGACUUUUACCGAUUCUUGAUUGGACUGAAGCCAGAUGUUUAGCUUGGCCAUUCGAGGAGCCUUGAGAGUUUCCCUGGCAGGAUGUUUUGGAUCAUUUUCCGACUGAAAUGUCCCAUUUUGUUUUAUUUUCAUCAUCCUUUCUGCAGAUUGGUUUGAUAGUCAUGUGAAGUUUACCAGUGCAAUUUGUCGAAAAGCAGCCCCACGCAGUCACGUUCCCGCUUCUGUACGUCGCAGUUGAUGCGGCGUUUUAAGGGUGACGCGCACUGCCAUUUCUUCUCCAAAUGUGGUCCGCAUUACGACAUCCAAAAGGUUAUUUUUUUUUUUUUGCUCUCAUUAGACCAGACUAUAUUCUUUCAGUAUUUAACUGGCUUGUCCAAUUGUUGCUCAGUCAGCUUUGGGCGAGCUUUGACAUGCUUUUUUUUUUUUUUUCCAGCAAUGUGGUCUUGCAUGGUGAGUGUGCAUACAGGUCACGGCGCCAGAGUGCAUUACUCAGUGUUUUCCUUGUCACAGCGCUCCCUGCAAAUUCCAGCUUUUUUUUUUUGAAGAUCUCCACAGGUGGUCCUUGGCUCUCGGACAACUCUUGCGAUUAUUUUUGGCGCUCUCCUGGAAAUCUUGCGAAGAGCACCGAAUCGAGGCAAAUUUGUGUUGGCACGAUUGGCUUUCUACUGAUGUAUUCUGGCACCAAACUGUGCUCACUAUAAGUUUCAAAAGUGUAGAUAUGCACCUGUAGACAGUGCCAGCUUUAUAUUUGGCAAAAAUGUCGUUGCGAUGGUCUUGAUACAACUCUUUGCUCUUACCCAUCGUGAGAUAUGUACACCUUGAGAAUCAGACCUUUUUGUAGGCCACCAAUUGACCCCUCCGUGGAUAUUGCGCAAUCCGCGUCACUGACCAAUCAGAGGCCAGAGAUCUGCAUAGACCAAAGCCCGUUUUUGCUCCCGCCAUUUUCUCUGACAUUGAAUGGUCCAGUAUAGGUUUAGUAAGCAUUUUAUCGCGUAUUUGGGUUAUUUAACAAAAAAUAUGGUUAAGAGGUGUAGUCGCGGACUUUGUAAUAGUGACGACAGGUAUCCUGAAAGGCUAGUUAGUGGAGUUCGAUUCGUACCCUUUCCAAAACCGAAGACCCAGUACGAAAAAUGCCUUCGAUGGAUCAAACGUUGUGGAAUACCGCAUCAUCAACUAAAUCCAUCUAAUAUCAACUGGAACCCAUAUGUUUGCACGAAGGUAUGCCUUAUAUUUGAUUUUCAAUAGAUAUCUCGUAUAAAUGAAUUCGAAGUUCUUCGCGAGCAUAACACUGCUGCGUGUGAACGAUUGCCACACUUAUUCUUUGUUGAGCGAUGAUCGGACUGCACAAACGUAUUGAUUUCUUGCCGGCUCGCGGCCGAAGCUUAACCAGACUGUGUUUGCACGAAGAUAUGCCCUAAAUUUGAUUUUUAAUCCACGUCUCGUAUAAAUGAAUGAGACGUUCUCUGCUAGCAUAACAUUGCUACGUGUGAAUGAUUGAAUGAAAUCAGAAGCAUGGUGUCUCUCUCAGUUCAGAAUGUAUUUUAUUGUAUUUGUCAUUUUUUACGAAUUGUUUGUCUUACGUCAGCGCACGUGGUGUGACGUCACUUCAGGGGCGUGGUUAAGUGCCCUGUACGGAGGGGUCAAAUAGGAUUGGUAUUGAUUUGCACUGACAAGGAGCUGGAUUGCUCUUUGAUUAUUAAUCAAUUUUGAGUGUUGUCUUCGGUUUCUGUGUGCUUUUGCACGGUCUUCAUGUGUUCAAUAAUUAUUCCCGUGUCAGUUCACAUUACAACACAUAACUUGAUUUAUCAAAAGAAGAAUCAGAUUUAAUUGGCAAGGAAUUUUUCUCCAGCAGUCGGUGAUGCCUUCGUACGACAUAGUGAACAAGUCAACAACAUGGCAACAAGAACAAAGAACAAGACAUUUCUGUUUAUAGGGACUCUUCCUUGUAAGACGUGCAAGAUGUAAAAACUGUUCAAAUGCCCACUACUUUUGACUUUCCUUGAUCUGUAGCGCUUUCCCGACUGAAGGAGCUUGAGGAGCUGGUGGCCAGGAUGUGGAGGAUCUGAAAUAAUCCUCCCUGCUCUGGACCUAGUUCUCGUUGCGUACGUUUAACCGCUCGGAAGGAGAGUGACACGCCGGGCAAAUUUACGACCGCAAGUCGAGCGGAGCAGUUGAGCUGCCGCAACACACAGGCGGCGUGGGAUCGAUUCCCGCUCACUGAUGGUGUGCCCUGUGACUCACUGGCGACCAGUCCUGGGUGUCACCUGUCUUUAGCCCGAUGUUAGCUAGGAUAAGCUCCGGCACUCCAGCCACCCUUGUGAGGAUAAGUGGCUCGGAAAUGCUUGGCAGGCCACUAUAUGUCGUUGGCAUAGGGACGCUGACGUCACAUGACCCGCCAGACCCUGCCUCUUGAAGACACGUACAGGAACAGGAUGUCUACAAAAACUACAAUAAAAGCUGCUGACGGUUUUUCACGAAAAAGCGAUGUCAAUAUUUUCCCAAAGAUCACCAGUGGCACAACCAUGAUGCCGGGUAGCCCUGUACCAGGAACGAGGAGGUUGACUCCUAAAAGUUGUGGAUCCUUGGCCCUACCUGGACCAGUAUUGCUAACUGGUUGGACGCAAACUCUGUGAGCACAAUUGCCACCAGCUAAUGGCUUUGAAAACUCUCAUAUGAAGAUGCACACUGAGUAAAGACGGCCAACUGGUGUUUCCUGGAUUCUCCGACCCAAGAAUUCGAAUCGAAAUGCAAGCCUUGCACUGAAGUGACGGUGAACCAAAGCUGCGAUCGUACCUCCAACUGAAGGUAAGAUUUCCGUCCUUGCGACACGCGUCCAAGGAAUUCGUUUGUAUUGUUGUGUCACCGAUCGUGAUUCUGCAAGCGAUAUUAUUGAUCAUAAAACGGGCAGCCCUUUGAUCAAAGGGGCCUUUUUGUGAUUCACAUUUAUGAAUCCCGUGGUAGAAGUCUUACCAUAUUUCAAGACCGCAGAUUGGAGAUUAAUUUGAAAAGAUUUUGACUCCAUUAUUAUCACGAUCACUAUCACGAUACUUCUUGUUAAUAAGGUUGCGGAUGUACUUGAGUCAAACCCGGGGGAGAGGCGAGGUAACAAACAAACAAACAUUUGCAUUCUUGCCUCUUACGGGCAAUUUUGGGAGUUUUCAGUGAACAUACCAAGUUAUCGAAAUGAGAAAUAUCCGAAAAAAGAAAAACAGAAAAGCAAGACUCGAACCGUGAACCCAGUUGUCCAUCUGUUUGCUACUCAUUCCCACGCCCUUUCAUCUCUAUUCCCGGUCGCCAAGGAAACUCUUUGUGUGUUUUCCCAGACCUGAUAGGGAAUCGAGCGCGUUCCCAAGCCGUAAAAGUGUCUCUGACCACAAAAAAAAAAAAAAAAAAAAAAGCAGAAGCUUUCCGUCCUCUUUCAAGGUGUAAUUCAGCCGCUGGGGCGUGGUGGCGUGAAGCUCCGCAAUUACAAGCCGGCAAACAAGCCAGGUGCAAUUCCGAGGUUUGUUGCGUGUCUCAAUAUUUGCCCGGAGGUGCCGCCAAUGCAGGUUCGCUGGGAUAAAUGCAGACACGCUUACCCGGGAGGAGGUCCAAACAUAUAGCAGAGUGUGACACGCUAAAGGUGAAUUAGGCCUCCCGGUAACGUCUCCUGCGUGCGGAGAAGGGCUUAAGACAAACUUCACGGCGUUGGCCCGCUACGUCACGUGACACGUAAGCCGAGCGCGCACGCCGGCCCGCAGAUAUUCUCGCCCGCACGGGAACGCAACAACAACAAGCAAAAAAAAAAAAUGCAGGAAGUCUGCAAAAGGUGGCUCUGCUGCACUUCGACCCGUAUCCAAACCG